rnacentral:rRNA from 1 species
GUGCCAGCCGCCGCGGUAAGACAGAGGGGGCAAGCGUUGCUCGGAAUUACUGGGCGUAAAGGGCGCGUAGGCGGGAUGGUAAGUCGGUCGUGAAAUCCCUCGGCUCAACCGAGGAACGUCGAUCGAUACUACCGUUCUUGAGGGUUGCAGAGGAGACUGGAAUUCCCGGUGUAGCGGUGAAAUGUGUAGAGAUCGGGAGGAACACCGGUGGCGAAGGCGGGUCUCUGGGCAAUUCCUGACGCUGAGGCGCGAAAGCGUGGGGAGCAAACGGGAUUAGAAACCCGAGUAGUCC